UAUAGGCUUUGGAAAAGGUCUGUUUGGAAUACCUAUUUAAUAGGGAGUUGAUUGGAUUAAUUAACCUAAGGUUGUAGAGUUUAACCUAAGUUUUAUUUGCCUCUUCCUCCACCCGAUGCACAUCUCCUCUUUCCGUGCCCUAAGCCACCGCCGCAUCUCCCUCUCCCUCUCCCUCUCGCGAGAGCCCACACCCUGCCGACUCUCCUCUCGUGAGUUCUCAAAGAGCCACAGCCGCUUGCUCUUUUUUCCCUCACUCUCGUCGGCCUUUUCUCCUUGCACGAGCACCAUAGAUUGCAGCCGCUCCCUCGCCCUCACACCAGCGACACAACCGCCAGCUCUCUUCCCCGAGUCCUCGCUUGCGGUUUCGCUCCGGUGUCUCUGCCGUGCCGACCAUCCAUGAGCCCACAGCCGGUGUCGUCUUUCCCUAAAUCGAUCGUCAGCUGGGAGAGUGAUCACCACUGCCCGAGCUGAUGCCGCCCUCUUCCGAUUGCUCGUUGUCGUUGAUCACAGAGCCUCGAUGCUAACAGCCAUCCACCAAUUUUGAGACGUCGGUGCCCUAAGAUGCAGUCGUCUUUGAUCUUCGGACUGCCCUUUCCUUUUCAAUAGGCUGAGCAGUGCCCUAGCUUUGCUUCGACCACCAUAGCUUCAUCAGCAGCUAGUUCGGAUGGGUGCCGCUGGCCACAGUGAGUUGCAGCAGUAGGGGAUUGGUAACAUUAGGGUAACAGGUAGAUGAGUCAUGGAUGCUUGGAGAGAUGCCGGCUGCCAGUCCUGGGUCCGAUGUCACACUCGAGGAUAGUUUCUUUUUGGAUUUUGUUAUCGUUUGGGUGGUAUGUUGAUUUUGUGUAUUUUUACUUUUCAAUAAGUCGAUGUGAAUUUUGGGUCAAGUCUGUGAUGGCAGGUAUUUGUGUUAGUGUCAUUGUUGGUUUUACGUUCGUAUCGUUUUAUGUCUUC